AACCUGCCUUACACCGGGGGAUAACAGUUAUAAAUGACUGCUAAUACCGCAUAAAACAGCACACUCACAUGACUCAGCUGUAAAAUAUUUAUCGGUGAAACACGGACCCGCGUCUAAUUACCUAGUUGGUGGGAUAACGGCCUACCAAGGCGACCAUCAGUAGCCGGCCUGAGAGGGUGAACGGCCACAUUGGGACUGACACUCGGCCCAUACUCCUACAGGAGGCCGCAGUGGGGAAUAUUGGACAGUGAGCAAAAGCCUGAUCCAGCGACGCCGCGUGUGCGAGAAAGUAUUUCGGUAUGUAAAGCUUAUUCAGCAGGGAAGAAAAACGACGGUACCUGACUAAGAAGCCCCGGCUAACUACGUGCCAGCAGCCGCGGUAAUACGUAGGGGGCAAGCGUUAUCCGGAUUUACUGGGUGUAAAGGGAGCGUAGACGGCAUCACAAGUCAGAAGUGAAAAUCCGGGGCUCAACCCCGGAACUGCUUUUGAAACUGUGGAGCUGGAGUCCAGGAGAGGUAAGCGGAAUUCCUAGUGUAGCGGUGAAAUGCGUAGAUAUUAGGAGGAACACCAGUGGCGAAGGCGGCUUACUGGACUGUAACUGACGUUGAGGCUCGAAAGCGUGGGGAGCAAACAGGAUUAGAUACCCUGGUAGUCCACGCCGUAAAC
rnacentral:rRNA from 1 species